ensembl:lncRNA
UUUGGGUGAGACAGUCCCAGAGGCCUUGCAUGCAAGCUACUAAUACACAUACAUGCAAUGAAGAACAGCUUACACUACAGCACACACUAUACAUGCGCCUAUAUCCCUCAUUAGUGUUAAAACAGGGAAAACUUAAUAGUUUUGUUAUCAAAUGCUGAAGUUUAUCCACUACUAACAAAUAAACUCUCUGGGUUGCAGGACAACAACUUCAAAAAGAACGACACUGGUAUGACCAACCAGUGAUGAAACAACAAAUUUAGUGGUUAAGAGUCAAAUUGUGAGAUGUUUUCUGCUGAUUGAAUCAUACAAGUGAUUACUGAAGGAAGGAAAAUUCCUUUUUUGUGCUUUUAAACAUGAUCUUACGAAUUUUACCAUGUACCUGUGUUGUCCUGUCAACUUGGUGGGUUAUGAGUUGAUUAUAUGGUGAGAAAAAACACAAAAAAAGGGGGGAGAGAAGGCUGACACAGGGCCUGGCCCGGUGUUUCUCCCCUCUCUGAAUAACACAGCCAAAACAACAUCAUUUUCCUGUUCCACUGUUUUUGUUUUGUUUUUGUUUUUUCUCUUUAUGUUUAAUUACAGGCUGCUUUGCCGGUCCUGAAAGCCAAAGCUGACCUGGACUCCUGCUCUCCCCUCUACCAUCUCUGACCUUGACCCUGACCAAAUGCUGCAGCAGCUGGACCCAUAACAACAAUCUAAAAAUGACAGGACCCCAGGGCACGCUUCAGGCCGUGGUUUACCCAAAACACCAGAACAGGAAAGUGAUAAACACGCCAACAUACACAAACAUACACAUCUACACACACUGACUCAGAAUGAAGAGAAACACACACCUGAACAGACGUGCACUUGUUGAUUGAGUGAGAAAUGACACACACACACACAUCAGACAAUGUACACUCAUCAAACAUGACUGAUGCCCUGAACGCCUUGAGACAGAUCCAGCAGGCCCAAACUCAGGACUAUGUAAAUAAUACAAGUGACUGCUAAAAAGACUACUACUGCCUUUUCACUGUGCAAUACUUUUUGUUAAAAACCAACGGUGCAAUAGACUUCAAUACUUGAAAUACUUGAAAUACUUGCAAUUCCUUUGUGUUCUUAUUCUUAUUUAUUCUAUUUAUCCCUUUUUGUAUUUUCACUUUUAUUUUGUGUUUUGUAACAUGUAUCCUGCCAUGUCUAAAACUCAUGAUUAACCGUAUAAUUGUUUCCACUGUUGCUGCAUACAUAGCCGUGACAAAUGAUGAUGAUGAUGACUCUGACC